AGUGGCGGACGGGUGAGUAACGCGUGGGCAACCUGCCCUAUACAGGGGGAUAGCAGCUGGAAACGGCUGGUAAGACCGCAUAAGUCGGCGAAACCGCAUGGUUUUGUCGGGAAAUGAGCAAUCAGGUAUAGGAUGGGCCCGCGUCCGAUUAGCCAGUUGGCAGGGUAAAAGCCUACCAAAGCAACGAUCGGUAGCCGGACUGAGAGGUCGGACGGCCACAUUGGGACUGAGACACGGCCCAAACUCCUACGGGAGGCAGCAGUGGGGGAUAUUGCACAAUGGAGGAAACUCUGAUGCAGCGACGCCGCGUGAGUGAAGAAGUAUUUCGGUAUGUAAAGCUCUAUCAGCAGGGAAGAUGAUGA
rnacentral:rRNA from 1 species